ensembl:lncRNA
AAAACACUUCUCCAAGUUAUAUCUGGGUAUAAUGUCCACAGAGCAAGAGCUAGGCCCUAGGUAUAGACAUAUAACUAACUUUGCACCAAUAGGAUAUAACUGGAAGUUCUGUUUGCAAUUUGUUGGUUAAUUCCUUAAAAGGAAGCUAUUUGUGUUCACCUUUCUGUUUUUAUUUCUCAUGGGAAGCUUGUCAGACUGCAUUAGAGCUCACCUGUAUGACCUGAUUUAACCUUAAUUACCCUUUUUGAAGGCCCUAUCUCUACAAACCGUCACAUUCUGAGAUACUGGGGGUUAGGGCAUCAAUGUAAAUUAUGGGGAAACACAACUUAGCCCAUAAUAGGAUGGACUAUAGACAUAAUGCUGGUGAGCCAGAUUACACCUUGUAGAUGAAGUCAACAUUCUAAGGCAGAAUUGUUCAAAAAAACUUUCUAUGAUGAUAGAAAUGUUCCAUUUGCCUCCUCCAAUAAUGGUAGCCACUAGUCACAUAUAAUUAUUUAAAUUAACUAAAAUUAAAUAAAAUUCAAAAUUCAGACCCUCAGUUAUACUAGCCACAUUUCAGGUGCUCAGUAACCCUAUGUGGCCAGCUGCUACCAUAAGAGACAGAACAGGUUAAGGGAUGGUGUAACAAAACAGUAGAAAUUUAGACUAUGAAUGACCUGAAGGACUACCACCAGAGUAUCACAUAAUCUACCUUGCUUGAGUCUAACCCAUCCCACACCUUAACUAACACAAUAAUUUAGGAAUGGAAUGCUGCAAUAAUAAACUCCUAAAAACUGAUAAGGCUAAGAAGACAGGCAGCAAGGAAACAUAUCUCAGCCUGGAAAGCCAACAAUCUCUGUUAUGCAGUAGCAAACCAUUUUUGUAAAACUCUUGCUGCAAUGACAAAAAGGGCACAUCAUAUGCCUACCAGGUACGUAGCUCUAAGAAAAGCAAUUAGGAAAAACUCAAAAUAUUGGUGUGAUGGCUAUUUAAAGAAUAACCAGAAAAAUCAACUCAACUAUGAAUAAGGCAAUUAGCAAGCAGAGACAGACCUGAAAAUAGUGCCACUGAGAAAAGUUCUCUCAGUAGCAAAACCUACUCUAUAAGUAAUCCAGGAUCUCUCAGGUUUGGGAAAGGUAGCUGUUUCCAGAUUUCAAAUACAAAGGUUAACCUGACCUCAACGAUUCUGUCAGAUGGUUGCAAAGAUCAAGUACAGAGUGUUGCUUUCCCACUUCUGAUGGUUUUGGAUGUGUCAAGUUGGUAGGAGUAAACUAAGAGGAAGGAAGGACAACAGGCAUUUUGAAAAUACUUUCUCUCAGUUAUCCAAACUAAUCUAGGGAAUUUUGCAGAUGUAGUUAAAGACCCUAAUCAGUUGACGUUUUUAAGCUCCAGUGAUCCAUCCUUAGUGAGCCAGACCUAGUACAGUGAGCUCUUAGGUUUUUUCCCUGACAAAUGAGACACCAAAUAGCAGCUGAGCCUGUAACUGUUCUCCCUUCACUGGACUUUCCUUUUUUAAUUGCCUAUGGAGAACAGCUUCAGCACAUGCCCAUGGGUUCCAACUUGCCUGAGCUCUUACCUUUCCAACUGCUUACCUUACAAAUUUCAGACUUGCUUAGCCAGCCCCCGGAACUACGUAAACCAAUUCCUUGUAAUAAAUCUCUUAAUACAUAUCUAUUUAUCAAUCUACCUAUCAUAUAUAAAUCUCCUACUUGUUCUGCUUCUGUUUAAAUCCCGGCUGAUAGGUUAUCCAAAGGCUGUUAUUUCAGAUGCCCUCAAGGUAGUCAAGUUACACAAGAGAAAGGAAAAGGAAUAGUAGAGACAGUAAAUUUCAAAAAAAAAGAAAAUGUCACUAAAAGAGAUCUUCUGCUGCAACUAAUUAUCACAUGGUACUGAGUUAAAACAGAAUAGAAAUAUAUUCAAGGUACAGAGAAAAGGGAACUGGUGGGAAUGUAAAUUGGUACAACCACUAUGGAAAACAGUAUUGAGGUUCCUCAGAAAACUACAUAUAGAACUACCAUAUGAUCCAGCUAUCCCACUCAUAGGCAUAUAUCCAGACAAAACUAUAAUUUGAAAAGAUACAUGCACCCCUAUGUUCGUUGCAGCACUAUUACCAAUAGCACAAGCUUGUAAAUCAGCUAUACUUAAAUAAAAAAAAAUGUUUUAAUGUAUUAAAUGUUUAAUAGAGUUUUACCAGCUAGCCACAUUACUGACCUAUGAAACCCUAUAACUGAUUUUUAAGUAACCCUGCAGAGCCUAAAUACUAACUGAUAUGGUACUACAAAAGUUUUACAAUUCCUAGGGAUGUCUUACUCUCAAAUGCCUGCUAAUUCAGAUGUGGCAAAGGAAGAUGAUAAACAAGAAAGAAUCACCUAAGAACAAAGCCAAGGACAUACACAAUAUUCUAAAGGGUAUUCCUCAUAAAGAGCAAAAUCAGAGUUGAACCAAGGGUUUUUCACAGUUGCCAGGGUAGUCUUCUUUCCAGAAGGAGCUCAUUAUUACUACGGACCAAUGACUGCUGUGAACUUAUUCUAUCCUUCUCCAAAGAAGCUGUCAUUAUGAUUAUCCUAUUGUUAUUCACUAAUGUACAAUGGGUUGGGCAAAAAAGUGAUAGUUACGCUGUUUAUUAUUUUACAGAUUACUGGGCUGAAUUAAGAGGGAAAGAAUUACGUAGAUAUCCUACACUGUGAGUUAUAUGCAGUAUCUGGAUGGAGCUUCUGAUUGAUUCUCUUGAGGAAGAAAGAUUAUGUGUUAGAAGAAAGGUCUGUACAACAUUGGGUGGCCAGAAGUUUCAGUCUGGUACUCGAGAAGAGAAGUUUAAAUUGGCAAUAUAAACUUCAGAGUCAUUAGCGUAUGCAUAUAUAAAGACAUAAAACUAGGAAUUCCCAUCAUGGCUCAGUGGUUAACAAACCAAACUAGCAUGCAUGGGGACACGGGUGUAAUCCCUGGCUUCACUCAGUGGGUUAAGGAUCUGGCACUGACGUGAGCAGUGGUAUAGGUUGCAGAUGCUCCUCCAAUCCCGCGUUGCUGUGGCUGUGGUGUAGGCCAGUGGCUACAGCUCAGAUUGGACCCCUAGCCUGGGAACCUCCAUAUGUCAAGGGUGUGGCUCUCAAAGAUAAAAAAAAAAGGUAAAGACACAAAACUAGAUAAAAUCACCCAAGAAGACCAGAUACAAGACCAAAAAGAACCCAGGAAUAAACAAUGAGGUACUAAAUAAUUCAAAAAAGAAAACCAACAAAAAGUAGCUAAUAUUGUAGAAACAGGAAAUGGUGGUAUUACACAGGCAAAGAGAGUACCAAUUUUUAAGCAGCAAAGACUGGCCAAGAAGGCCAAAUGCAAAUGAGAAGAGUAAAUAAGAAUGGUCACAACAAUUAAAUACUAUAUGCAGAAAGAUAUUCAUUAACUUUGGAAAACAAAGUACAGAACUAUCAAAAGAAAACACUUAAGAAAUUUUGUUUAAAUACUGGGGCAAAGAAGGUCUCCAGAAAUCAGGAUAAUUCAUUUACUACAAAAAAAAAAAAAAAAUUUUCUGCAUUGUAAAAACACUAUAAACAAAGAACAUGCAUAACAAAUAACAUCGUGAAGGAUUAAUACCCAUAAAUUAUAAACAGCACCAACAAAUCACUAAGAAAAAAACCAACCCUAAUAGAAUAAGUUAAAGGAUAAAACAGGAAAUUAAAAAAAAAAUCAAAUGAAAAAUAAACAUGAAAAUUUGCUUGAUGUGAACAGUAAUAAGAAAAAUGAAAAUAAAAACACUAUUUUUCAUUUAACAUAUUUUAAAAACUAAAAUCAAAUUCAGUAGCAUUUUUACACACUGUUGAUGGAAGCAAAACCUCGGAGCAUUUAUCAAAUUUAACACAUGAAUAACCUCUGGCCCUGCAAUUCCAUUUCCAAAAAUCCACCCCCUCCAAAAUACUUUUAUACUCAAAAAUAACUGUAAAAAGAGGUUAACUUCAGCAAUGUAUAUAUGAUAGCAAUGUACCGAAAACAAUCUAAAUGUCUACAAACAUAAAAGAUCAAAUUAAUUAUGAACAUCAUACUAUGGAACACUCAUAAGUAAAUGAGAACAAGACAAAUCUUAACAUACUCUCUCAGACAUACACCCUCCACAUACACCCACACCUUCUCUCUCAUUCAGGCACUCUCACCAAGAAAGAAACCAGAACAUUUGAUAUAUACCAAGCUGUUAAUAGCUUUUACUCUUAAGAGUAGGAUAAAACCUUUAUCUAUUAGAAGACUUUUUUUACAAGCAUGAAUGUAUUCACUAGUUUCUAUACUUAAAUAAACAUACAACCAUUAUCUGAAGACUAAUCUCUUCAACUGGUAUCUUUUAAGAACGAUCAGAGAUUCCUGUUGUGGCUCAGCAGGUUACAAACCUGACUAGUAUCCAUGAGGAUGCAGGUUCGAUCCUUGGCUCCACACUCAGUGGGUUAAGGAUCUGGCGUUGCCGCAUGCUGCAGUGUAGGUCACAGAUGCAGCUCAGAUCCUGAGUUGCCAAGGCUGUGGUGUAGGCUGGCAGCUGCAACUCUGAUUUAACCUAUAGCCUGGUAGCCUGGGAACUUCCAUAUGCCACAGGAGCAGCUGUAAAAAGCAAAAAGCAAAAAAAAAAAAAGAAUGAUCACUAAUGAAACUUCAGUGACAAAAUUUCUGAGAGACAGCUAUGCUUUGUGUGAUAAUUUGAUUAAUAUACACCAAGGAAAAAGAAUAAAAAGAUGAUUUCAAAUAAUAAUUAAUGCUGGAAAGAGGAUUAUACGCAAUUUUCGUAUUUCUUAAUCUUUUUGAUUUUGUCAAAUUUUCUGCAAAUAGGUAUGUUUCCAUAAAUAUCCAUGUUUAGUUAAUAACAGUUAUUUAUAGAAAUACUGUAUUUAAAAUCUAAUUUAAUACUUACCACUGCAAGCUAUGCUGUCCUGUAACGCAAUUUUUCUUAUUUUAACACAUCUCUCUACCUGCAGCAACCAUAAGUAUACUAGUAUAACUACCUUUUUUCUUACUACAAAAUCUUCAGGGUAAAAGUAGAAUGGAUGAGUCUUUGAAGUAACCUAAUCCAAGGAUACUGUAGAGGGACUUCCCUUGUGGUGCUGCGUGUUAAGGAUUCAGUAUUGUCAUUUCGGUAGCUUGGGUCACUUCUGUGGUGCAGGUUCAAUUCCUGGCCCAGGAACUUCCACAUGCCACAGGCAAGGCAAAAAAAUUAAUUUAAAAAAAGAGAGAACACUCUAGAAAAGUAUCACA